UGGGAUAUAGCUCAGUUGGUAGAGUGUUUGCUUCACAUGCACAAGUCCCUGGGCCCAAUCCCAGUACCACAA
rnacentral:tRNA from 1 species